GGCGGAGCUGUGGGCCAUGUGGAAGACUUGUGAUUGUGUUGUUGUAUCGCUAAAGCAGGCAACAAAUCACAGUGUUCCGCAUGGAGCGGUGCUCCUU
rnacentral:pre_miRNA from 1 species